AGAGUUUGAUUCCUGGCUCAGAUUGAACGCUGGCGGCAGGCCUAACACAUGCAAGUCGAGCGGAUGAAGAGAGCUUGCUCUCUGAUUCAGCGGCGGACGGGUGAGUAAUGCCUAGGAAUCUGCCUAGUAGUGGGGGACAACGUUUCGAAAGGAACGCUAAUACCGCAUACGUCCUACGGGAGAAAGUGGGGGAUCUUCGGACCUCACGCUAUUAGAUGAGCCUAGGUCGGAUUAGCUAGUUGGUAGGGUAACGGCCUACCAAGGCGACGAUCCGUAACUGGUCUGAGAGGAUGAUCAGUCACACUGGAACUGAGACACGGUCCAGACUCCUACGGGAGGCAGCAGUGGGGAAUAUUGGACAAUGGGGCGAAAGCCUGAUCCAGCCAUGCCGCGUGUGUGAAGAAGGCCCUCGGGUCGUAAAGCACUUUAAGUUGGGAGGAAGGGCUCAUAGCGAAUACCUGUGAGUUUUGACGUUACCAACAGAAUAAGCACCGGCUAACUUCGUGCCAGCAGCCGCGGUAAUACGAAGGGUGCAAGCGUUAAUCGGAAUUACUGGGGCGUAAAGCGCGCGUAGGUGGCUUGAUAAGUUGGAUGUGAAAUCCCCCGGGGCUCAACCCUGGGAACUGCAUCCAAAACUGUUGGGCUAGAGUGUGGGAAAAAGGGG
rnacentral:rRNA from 1 species